UGCAGUCGACGCUUCUUUCCUCCCGAGUGCUUGCACUCAAUUGGAAAGAGGAGUGGCGGACGGGUGAGUAACACGUGGGUAACCUACCCAUCAGAGGGGGAUAACACUUGGAAACAGGUGCUAAUACCGCAUAACAGUUUAUGCCGCAUGGCAUAAGAGUGAAAGGCGCUUUCGGGUGUCGCUGAUGGAUGGACCCGCGGUGCAUUAGCUAGUUGGUGAGGUAACGGCUCACCAAGGCCACGAUGCAUAGCCAACCUGAAAGGGUGAUCGGCCACACUGGGACUGAAACACGGCCCAAACUCCUACGGGAGGCAGCAGUAGGGAAUCUUCCGCAAUGGA
rnacentral:rRNA from 1 species